GAUGAACGCUGGCGGCGUGCUUAACACAUGCAAGUCGAACGAGAAGUGAAGACGGAAACCUUCGGGCGGAAGGCUUUAUUUCGAGUGGCGGACGGGUGAGUAACGCGUGGGUAACCUGCCUCAUACAGGGGGAUAACAGUUGGAAACGACUGUUAAUACCGCAUAAGACCACAGCACCGCAUGGUGCGGGGGUAAAAACUCCGGUGGUAUGAGAUGGACCCGCGUUCGAUUAGCCAGUUGGCGGGGUAACGGCCCACCAAAGCGACGAUCGAUAGCCGAUCUGAGAGGAUGACCGGCCACAUUGGGACUGAGACACGGCCCAAACUCCUACGGGAGGCAGCAGUGGGGAAUAUUGCACAAUGGGGGAAACCCUGAUGCAGCGACGCCGCGUGAGUGAAGAAGUAUUUCGGUAUGUAAAGCUCUAUCAGCAGGGAGAAAAUGACGGUACCUGAGUAAGAAGCCCCGGCUAACUACGUG
rnacentral:rRNA from 1 species